AUGCGGACGGAGCCUGGAGGCCACGUCGUGUCAUGUGCGUGGAAGGGCGAGUGGAACAAGCUGCCGGCGUCAGAGAGCACGUGUCUAAAGGCAAGGCAAGGCGUGCGCACCCCUGGCAUGGCCGAGGUGGACAUUGUGGACGGCGAGACGGGCUGUAGCGUGCCCCGAGACGGCACCACGAUGGGCGAGAUCGUGGUCUGUGGCGGGUGCGUCAUGCUGGGGUACCUAAACAAUAGAGAGGCAACAAGGGCGGCGAUCCGGGACGCCGGGUGGUUCUACACGGGCGACAUUGGGGUGAUGCACCCGGACGGGUAA
rnacentral:rRNA from 1 species